GACUACAGGGGUAUCUAAUCCCUUUCGCUCCCCUAGCUUUCGUCCCUGAGUGUCAGUUGCGGUCCAGUAGAGCGCUUUCGCCACCGAUGUUCUUCCCAAUCUCUACGCAUUUCACCGCUACACUGGGAAUUCCCUCUACCCCUACCGCACUCUAGCUUCUCAGUUUCCACGGCUCCUCCGGGGUUAAGCCCCGCUCUUUCACCGCAGACUUGAGAGGCCACCUGCGGACGCUCUACGCCCAAUAAUUCCGGAUAACGCUUGCCUCCUCCGUAUUACCGCGGCUGCUGGCACGGAGUUGGCCGAGGCUUUUUCCUUGGGUACCGUCAGCUUUCUUCCCCAAGAAAAGAGGUUUACGACCCAAGAGCCUUCUUCCCUCACGCGGUAUAGCUCCGUCAGGCUUGCGCCCAUUGCGGAAGAUUCCCCACUGCUGCCUCCCGUAGGAGUCUGGGCCGUGUCUCAGUCCCAGUGUGGCUGACCAUCCUCUCAGACCAGCUACUGAUCGUUGCCUUGGUAGGCUCUUACCCCACCAACUAGCUAAUCAGCCGCGAGCUCCUCUUCAGGCGUUAACGCUUUCACCCGUAGGCUCAUCGGGGAUUAGCCGCCGUUUCCAGCGGUUAUCUCCGUCCUGAAGGUAGAUUCUCACGCGUUACUCACCCGUCCG
rnacentral:rRNA from 1 species